CCGGGGCAGUUUUCCUCCUGCUAGACUGGUUCCAGCUGGACCAGGAGCUGAUCCUGGUGGAGGAGAGACCUCCUGAAACAAUAGAAACCGCUCCCUGGCAGACCAGCGAGCCUCUUUCAGCGGAGGUUGGAGUGAGGCAGAGGAAGAGGAGCAGAGAGGAUCCGGAGGAAGGCCCAAGCCCGUCACAGAGGUUGAGGAGCAGCUAUGGGAAACAACCUCUCCAUGUGGAGGCUGUGGGGAAGGUAGAGGACUCCUCUGAGGCCCGUAAAGACCCAGGGGUGCCCAGUUCUUUGCCUGGAUACCGGAACACGGACAGAUCUGGCAGCAGUCCCAGCUCCUCUGCAGGUGUUGAGCGCUCCGACCAAAGCUCUGCCUGUAUCACCUCCUCCAGCAGGACCUGCCUGACGACCUACAGCACAGCCGACUUUGAAGCUCUGUACGAAGAGCUGGAGCGGCUGGGACAAGGAGGAUUCGGGAGUGUCUUUGCUGGCUACCGGAGAGAGGACCGUCUGCCUGUCGCUAUAAACCAUAUCCCCAUGGACAUGGUCGUAAUGACCCGGGUGACUCUUAACGGGCAGCUGACGGACUGCCCGCUGGAAGUGUCUUUGAUGCUGAGGGCCGCCGAAGAUCAGCCGGACCCUGAGGGCCACGGGGCAGUUGUCCUCCUGCUAGACUGGUUCCAGCUGGACCAGGAGCUGAUCCUGGUGCAGGAGAGACCUCCUGAAACAAU
ensembl:lncRNA